GGCGGCAUGGCUCAGGAGGUAGAGCGGUUGGUCUAGGAAUCAGAAGGUUCCUGGCUCCUGGUUCGAUCCCCGGCUCCUCCA